rnacentral:rRNA from 1 species
AGUGAACGCUGGCGGUGGGCCUAACACAUGCAAGUCGAACGGCAGCACAGUAAGAGCUUGGCCUUACGGGUGGCGAGUGGCGGACGGGAGAGGAGUACAUCGGACUCUACUUUUUCGUGGGGGUUAACGUAGGGAAACUUACGCUAAUACCGCAUACGCCCUACGGGUGAAAGCAGGGGAUCUUCGGGCCUUGAGCGUUUGGAUGAGCCGAUUUCGGAUUUGCUAGUUGGCGGGGGAGAGGCCCACCAAGGCGUUGAUCGGGAGCUGGUCUGAGAGGGUGACCGGCCACAUGGGGACUGAGAUACGGCCCAGACUCCUACGGGAGGCAGCAGUGGGGAAUAUUGCACAAUGGGCGGAAGCGUGAUGCAGCGACGCCGCGUGCGGGAUGACGGCCUUCGGGUGGUAAACCGCUUUCGGCUGUGAAGAAGCGUGAGUGACGGUAACGGAAGAAGAAGCACCGGCUAACUACGUG